rnacentral:rRNA from 1 species
ACACGUAGGGGCCUGACGUUGUUCGGAAUCAUUGGGCGUAAAGGGCGCGCAGGCGGCCGUCCAAGUCCGGUGUUAAAUGGUCGGGCUCAACCCGAUCAUGCGCUGGAAACUGGGCGGCUUGAGUCCCGUAGGGGAUGCCGGAAUUCCAGGUGUAGGGGUGAAAUCUGUAGAUAUCUGGAAGAACACCGAUGGCGAAGGCAGGCAUCUGGCCGGAGACUGACGCUGAGGCGCGAAGGCGCGGGGAGCGAACAGGUUUAGAUACCCUGGUAGUGCGCGCAGUAAACGAUGCGCACCAGGUGUCGGGCGGCAGCGCCCGGUACCGGAGCUAACGCGAUGAGUGCGCCGCCUGGGGAGUAUGCCCGCAAGGGUGAAACUCAAAUGAAUUGGCGGG